AUCCUUUGCUGAGGAUACGGUUAACGGAGCGAAAGCGACGUUCAACCUCAAAAGAAGCAGAGGGGGCUUAGUGGUGGGGUGACUGCGUACCUUUUGUAUAAUGGGUCAGCGACUUAUAUUCUGUAGCAAGGUUAACCGAAUAGGGGAGCCGGAGGGAAACCGAGUCUUAACCGGGCGUUAAGUUGCAGGGUAUAGACCCGAAACCCGGUGAUCUAGCCAUGGGCAGGUUGAAGGUUGGGUAACACUAACUGGAGGACCGAACCGACUAAUGUUGAAAAAUUAGCGGAUGACCUGUGGCUGGGGGUGAAAGGCCAAUCAAACCGGGAGAUAGCUGGUUCUCCCCGAAAGCUAUUUAGGUAGCGCCUCGUGAAUUCAUCUCCGGGGGUAGAGCACUGUUUCGGCUAGGGGGCCAUCCCGGCUUACCAACCCGAUGCAAACUGCGAAUACCGGAGAAUGUUAUCACGGGAGACACACGGCGGGUGCUAACGUCCGUCGUGAAGAGGGAAACAACCCAGACCGCCAGCUAAGGUCCCAAAGUCAUGGUUAAGUGGGAAACGAUGUGGGAAGGCCCAGACAGCCAGGAUGUUGGCUUAGAAGCAGCCAUCAUUUAAAGAAAGCGUAAUAGCUCACUGGUCGAGUCGGCCUGCGCGGAAGAUGUAACGGGGCUAAACCAUGCACCGAAGCUGCGGCAGCGACACUAUGUGUUGUUGGGUAGGGGAGCGUUCUGUAAGCCUGUGAAGGUGGCCUGUGAGGGUUGCUGGAGGUAUCAGAAGUGCGAAUGCUGACAUAAGUAACGAUAAAGCGGGUGAAAAGCCCGCUCGCCGGAAGACCAAGGGUUCCUGUCCAACGUUAAUCGGGGCAGGGUGAGUCGACCCCUAAGGCGAGGCCGAAAGGCGUAGUCGAUGGGAAACGGGUUAAUAUUCCCGUACUUGGUGUUACUGCGAAGGGGGGACGGAGAAGGCUAUGUUGGCCGGGCGACGGUUGUCCCGGUUUAAGCGUGUAGGUGUGUGUUCCAGGUAAAUCCGGUUCACUUUAACACUGAGGCGUGAUGACGAGGCACUACGGUGCUGAAGCAACAAAUGCCCUGCUUCCAGGAAAAGCCUCUAAGCAUCAGGUAACAUCAAAUCGUACCCCAAACCGACACAGGUGGUCAGGUAGAGAAUACCAAGGCGCUUGAGAGAACUCGGGUGAAGGAACUAGGCAAAAUGGUGCCGUAACU
rnacentral:rRNA from 1 species